rnacentral:rRNA from 1 species
AGAGUUUGAUCAUGGCUCAGAUUGAACGCUGGCGGCAUGCCUUACACAUGCAAGUCGAACGGCAGCACGGGAGCAAUCCUGGUGGCGAGUGGCGAACGGGUGAGUAAUAUAUCGGAACGUGCCCAGUCGUGGGGGAUAACGUAGCGAAAGCUACGCUAAUACCGCAUACGAUCUACGGAUGAAAGCGGGGGACCUGUAAGGGCCUCGCGCGAUUGGAGCGGCCGAUAUCAGAUUAGGUUGUUGGUGAGGUAAAAGCUCACCAAGCCUGCGAUCUGUAGCUGGUCUGAGAGGACGACCAGCCACACUGGAACUGAGACACGGUCCAGACUCCUACGGGAGGCAGCAGUGGGGAAUUUUGGACAAUGGACGCAAGUCUGAUCCAGCAAUGCCGCGUGCAGGACGAAGGCCUUCGGGUUGUAAACUGCUUUUGUACGGAACGAAACGGUCUUCUUUAAUACAGAGGGCUAAUGACGGUACCGUAAGAAUAGA